rnacentral:rRNA from 1 species
GGGAGUGAAAUAGAACCUGAAACCCUGCACUUACAAGCUGUGGAAGCACAUUUCUUGUGUGACCGCGUACUUUUUGUAGAACGGGCCAACGAGUUACGUUAAGUAGCCAGGUUAAGCACUUAAGGUGUGGAGCCGUAGCGAAAGCGAGCUUUAACUGAGCGUUCAGUUACUUGACGUAGACCCGAAACCGGGCGACCUACCCAUGGGCAGGAUGAAGGGAAAGUAAAAUUUCGUGGAGGUCCGAACCCACGCGCGUUGAAAAGCUCGGGGAUGACGUGUGAGUAGCGGUGAAA